GCCACGGUGGUCUAGCGGUUAGGACGUUGGCCUUGUAAUCCUGGGGUCUCGGGUUCGAUUCCCGGCGGUGCCC
rfam:Zootermopsis nevadensis contig5118, whole genome shotgun sequence.